rnacentral:lncRNA from 1 species
AUUAGGGUUUUGGUUAUUUAGGUCCACUUAAAUGAAGUGACUAUAUAAUAUGACUUUAUAGCCUAAAAUUCAUUAAGGGUUUUUUUGGAGAAAAUUGGUGAGAACAUGUCUCUCCAUUUUCUCUCUAAAGAGGCCGGCCACCUUGGAGGGUACAUCUAGCAAUCCUACUACUCCAAGGUCACUCAUUUUCUUCUCCAAUCUAACCUUGGUGAAGAGACUUAGAGGUUCUCAAUUUUGGGAACUUGGAGAACCAUAUUCUUCCAUCCAAAUCCAUGGAUCUAAGAUGCAAGGAAUGAAGGCCCUCUCUUUGGGUGAUUAGCCUUUGCUUAUGCAAAGAGGAAUCUACAAAGGUAUAUAAUUUCUCAACUCACUUUGUUUUUGAGUUGAUUCUUGGUUCACCAAUCUACUAGGCUUUGAAUUUCAUGGUUAAUGUUUUGUUUUUGAAGUGCAUGCAAGCAUGAUUCCGCCUUUAAUUGUUAAUUGCAUGCUAUAUGAUGUUGCUUCAAAUGAACAUGUUUUCACAAAAUAAUUCCUUCAAGUGGUAUCAGAGCCUAGGUCUAGUAGUUGGUGAAUCCUUUUGGGUUUUGUAGUUCAUAGUUUGUGAUUUAAAAGUUGUAAUAUGUUACAAGCUUUAUUCUUGCUUUCUUUGAAUGUAAAUUUUGUUAGAAAAUUUGCCAUCUCAAAUGUUGUAGAUGUAGUUCAUAUGAGCAUGAAUAUUGGAGCUAAAAUUUGGUGCCAUGCUUUUGGGAAAAUUCGGCCAAAUCCAAAGGGUGGAUUUUUGGGUUCUUGUUUGACUUGUUAAAAGUGUUUUCAAGUGACUUUUGGAACCCCUAUGUACCCUAGUUUGGUUAGAUGUUAUUUCCCUUAAGUUUGAAUGGUUUUGGAAUGUUUUUGGGUGAAAAAUGUUCAUGGAAAAAUUUUGGGUUUUUCAUGAAUGUUCUUCAUUGUUCUUGACAUUUUUGCCAAGAACAAAAAGGUUUGUGUUUUGAUUCAAAGUUUUGAUUUAUUUCAUAAAGUUUAUUUGUGAUAUGUUUUUAAAUGAUUUUAUCAAAUAUUUAAAGUGUUAGAUAUUUGAUUAAAUGGCAAUGGUGAAAUAUUAUCAUAAAACAUUAUUAUUUUUUAUGAAGGUGAUAGAAAUGGUGAUAAGAAUUUCUUAUCACUUACACACCACUUGCAUUGCUUUAUGUCAAAACUCACAAAUCAACACACACAUCACUCUUAUCCCUUCCAAAACCGGCCACCCCUCAAGUGGGGGGUACUUUUGGGGCUUUUAUAUGCAAUUACAUAAAGUUUUGAUACUUUUGUGUAUUUGCACUUUGGCCCAAAAAGUUUACGUUUUUACGUUUAGGUCCAAAAACGCUAAAGGACAAAUUGUUUUGCUCCUUUAAUGAAGUUUUUGCAUUGAUUAAAUUUUGGGUUCUAUUGUAAUUACAUGAAGUAGUGGACUUUUGUGUCUUUACAAAGUGACCCCAAAAGUUUUGCAAUAUAGCCCAAAAGUUGAGGUUAAUUGCUUGAUGGCCCAAAUUAGGUUGAGAACAAAAUUGUUUUGUCUCUUUAAAUGAGAAUUGGAUUUUCAUUUUGUUUAGCUCCAUUUAAAUCAAUUUUAUGGAUACAAAAACCAAAUGAAAAUGUUGCAUUCAAUUUAAUUAGUUAAAGUGUUAAUUAAUUAAAGGGUGAUUAUGAACCUAAGCCUAAUAUAAUUGAGCUAUGUGAAAGGCCGUUUCAAAUUUGUUUGAACCAUGGGAAUGUGUGUGUAGAUUAGAUUUUGGUUGUAAUUUGAUUUGAUCAAAUGUUGUAAAAGGGCUUAAGCUCUUCUUUACUUUAAAGUAAUUUGUUUUAUGCAAAUGUUGUAAUGAGCAUAAGCUCACCUUUACUUUGAAGUACUUCUUUCUUGCUUUAUUUGAUAUGCAUGAAAAUGAAGUAGUUGGGUCCAACGCCCCUAAGACAACACGCCUUAAUGUGAUUAAACGCGUAACUAAAAUCAAUCACCAUCCCUAGACCGAGAUUCAACACAAGGCUCGUGUUGAAUCUAAACAAAGGUUCAUAGUCAUCCUAAGGCCCUAAGGCAACUAUAUAGUCCAUCAAAUGAAUGCAAAGGUUAUGUUAGUAGUAUCAUAUACUCUUGCUUUAAAAAACCGUUUUAUAAGCAUAGUGGGAGUAUUAUAUACAACUAAAAACAAUCAAUGGACCAAUAGUUGUAAUAGGACCAAAAUUGUUUUAAUAGAGAUUAAAAUGUAAUAUGUUUAUAUGUGAUGAGACCUAAAACCCUCAACCAAACCAUUAUUAAGUUGAUAAGCGUGAGAGAUGCUUUGAACAUCUCUUCGUGGCCUUCCACCGUGGUAGGCUCCAAUCGUUUAUGACUUGUACACCGGCUUCACCCUAUCAUGGGGGAGUACAAAGUGCAUGCUUAUACUCUCAGGAGGAGUCCUAUAUACAUACUUGAUGAGGUGAGUGUAGGCAACGAGGAUGGCCGAAUAUCAUAUCAUUGUGAGGCUAUUCUUGAACCCCUUCAUGAACUAAGCAUGGUGGGAAUGACUUAACUAAGUGCAAUGGAACCAAUAUGGGAAUGACUUAACUAAGUGCAAUGGAACCAAUAUCAUAUCAUUGUGAGGUUACAUUCUCUAGAGGCCAAAUAAGAUGGGUACUUGCAUUAGUUGCAAAUGAGUAAGCGUACUCUCUCAUUAUUAUUAAUGCUAGCCAAUAUCAUAUCAUUGUGAGGUGGGCUUGGUAAUAGUGAGCCUCCCAUAACCCUACUAAGAGUUUCAUCCAAAACUCUCGAAUUCCAAUGAGGGAUAUGGAAUUUGCCAAAAAUAGUGGGUGGUGCUAUUUUGAUUUAAAGACCCGAAUCAAAUGGCUUAAAAUCAAUCAAUUUAUAUUCGUUAUGUAUUUGUUUACCAAUAUAUUUGCAAACGCUAUCCAACACUUGACAAAUAAAAACCGAAUGUUUUAGUUUCCGGACUUGGUACCACAAUCCCAAAGAUUGUCUUAAAUGGAUUGUAUAUGUACCUAAGUAGUCUCAUCCUCACAAUCUUCCUAUUGAUAAUGUAUCAUUGGAAGAACAUGUUAGAUAAGUCUAUCAUGAAGAGGACAACACAAACAACCAAUGCUUAAUCCUUUGUUAAAUGAACAAAGGAACUUACGAAGAUUAGCAUAAUGACAAGGACACUUUUAGUGUUAUUAGUUCUUCACUUACAAAUCGUUGUAUGAAGAAAUAAGAGUUGCUUUGAACAACCCUUAGUCAAUGCAAACACUUAGUGCUUGUUUCUUUGUUAAAUGAACAAAGAACUUGAGAAGAAAGCACAAAGGCAUGGACACUUUAUGUGCCAUGAUUCUUCACUUACAAAUUGUUGUAUGAAGAAAUGAGAGUUGCCUUGUAACAACUCUUGAAAGUUUGUAAUUAUGUUUAGAACAUAAUGGUUGGUUGACAAAAAUAGUCCAUUAACAUGGACUUAUGAUGAUUUUGAAUCAUUGAGUGUUGAAGUGAUAAACCACUUAACGAGACGGAAACUAGGCAAGGACUUCACCUUUGUGUCCCUAUCCUAAUGGUUCACUAAGUUUAUUGUAAACUAUGUAGUGAACAAUAAACCACAUGCUCUCCAAAAUUGUUUGAUGUGUAUAACACAAUUGAAAUAAGUUUCAAGAGAGAUAGUGGGAGUUUAGGGACCAUGACUAUUGUAGUCAAAGGAGAAAGUCAAAAAAGAGAAAAGAUAAAUAACUCCAAGGGAACAAACUUUCUUUAUGAAAGGAUGGACAUUGGAAGGGGUAUUUGCAAGAAAUGUCUUGCAAGUGUCAAGAACACACCUUUCGAAGGUGUUGUAAAUUGUUCUUGAAUAGUUCAAAACAGUUGGUUCUUCUACUUGAAUGCUUGAUUCCGUAUUAGUAACUAUGUUUUACAAUCGUUGUAAAAGUGUGGCUAAUAAGAAGUAGAAGAUUAAUGAGAGAAGAGAAAGUACUUCACAUUCGAAACGUGAAUCAAAUAUAGAUCUCUGCGAAAGCAGAUGGUACUUACUUCCUCAUAUGAACUACCAAAGAAAUUGGAAAAACCAAAGAUUGUCUUUACAUUCCAAUUUUAAGGAACUUAAAUUCCGUCACUAUAGUAGAAAUGGAUGAAUGUUUUGUUUGACAAAACAUUGUUCUUUAUUAAUCAAUGAUUGGAUUAUGGUAAUCUAAUUGAUUGUCUCUAUAGUAGAGAUGAUAUAUGGUAGUGUUAACUGUUUAGAAUAUAAUGAUGCUUAAAACCCAAAAGGUUGCAAGGUAGUGACUAAUCCCAACUAAAGUUGUGAUACCCUCUAAAACAUAAAUUACGAGUUGGUCAUAGAUGGAUGCUUUGGAUCGUUAGAUCCGGAUCCAAUACCUUCUUGUUAAAAUUGUAUAGAGGCGAAAUGUUCGAAUCUUUAUUCUUUUGGAAAGAAGAAAGAAUCACAAAGUUGUUGAGGUUAAUUCACUUAGAUGUUAGUGGCACUUGUCCACAAACAUAAUACUACUCAUGUUGUAUGACAUUCACCGAAGAUCACUCUCGGUUGGACUAUAGUUUAUUUUGAAUAAACACAAGUCCGAAUACUUUGCAAAAUGUUUCAAAGAAUUCAAGAAAUGUAAGUUGAUGAGUAAGACGUCUAAAGUAUUUACCUCCUUAGAUUUGAUCCAAGAUAAGGUAACACUUUAGAAUAGUUUCCUUGAAAGAUAUCAAGGAAAAUAGCAUCAUAAGAUAAUGAAUUUCUCCUUUAGGAGAAGAACGAACUCGAAUAAGAUUUAGUUCGUUAGAUGUUAUCUAUUACCCAUAUAUAGGAUAUAUAUACUUCUAAAACAAUAUGAUUGUCAAUUAGAAGAUCUUCCAAAAUUUUCAUGACUCCAUAAGAUGUAGUUGGAAAGAAAGACAAAUCUUAAGCAUGUUAAGAUUUGGGGUUGUGUGUGCUAAUAAGCAAUAUUUGUUUGAUAACAAUCUUGUGGGAUAUCCUUAAAUUAACUUUUGGAUAUCGCUUCUAUAAACCAACUAACAAAUGUUGUUUUGUUGGGUAGUUCAUUGUAAUCCUACAAUGUGAUUUGCCUAAGAGCAAAUGAACGAGAGAUAGAACUCAAAGAAUGGGUUCUUUGAGAGACAAGAAAGUAAUCAACAAAUAUAACAACCUAGUUCCUAUACCACAAGCUCCAAGGUAGUCGAGAAGGAUUUAUAAACCGUCUCAGUUGAAUGGUUUUGAACUUUAUGACUAUGUCAUAGAGUUGCACCUCUUAAUUCGAAAGAAAUAAGAAUGAAAAUCCUUAUGACUACAUUGAGUGCAUAUAUGCGAUAUAUACUCAAGGAAAUGGUAAAGUACCAUUUGACCCGAAAUAAUGAAACCUUCAUAAGCUAAUUGGUAGCUUAAGGUGACUACAAUCAAAGAGAAUGGUUGACUUUGAAGGAAACCAUUUUUGACGUAGUCUUAGUUUCAAUUAAUUCGAAGAUUGCUAGCUACAACUAAAUGGUGAUUCAAUGUUUGGACAUAAUAUGGGUUUUCGAAACCAUUAUUAAGAUAGUCUUGAUAAUAUAUGUCUAAAACUAUGAAUCACAAGACAUGUAAGUUGUAGAGAUCCAUCCAUCAUGGAUCUUAGCAAGCUAGUGGGAGCUAUAAGCAUCUUAUGAGAAAAGGAUCAAAUCGUUUGAUUUCUCAUAAAGAUGUAAAUGAAUCUUUUGUUUACUAGGUUUACAAAAGAUUAGUGGGAGUUAAUCAUGUUCCUAAAAAUUUAAAUAUAUAUAUAUGAUAUAUUAAUUUUGGAUGGAAAUGAAAAGAAUACUUCUUCGUUAAAGUUAUGACUUUAAACAUUAUAUAUGAAGAUAGAAUGUAUAUGGGAGACAUAGUCUAUAUACAUGGGAUGGAAAUCUAUAAUGAUAUAUUUCAUGAUAUAAUUGGAUUAUAUCAAUCCCUAAUAAUAGACAAAAGAUGCUAGGAAGUUUCUCAUAUGAUGAUAAACUUCAAUUAGAAGGACGAACUCUAGUGAGACUAGCAAGUUGCCUCUUCUCAAAGGGAACGUACCCUUUGACUCCCAAAGAAAUAAUGCGUAAAUAGAAUCCUUUAUGCAUACGCAGAAAGGUGAUUUAUGUAUUUCAUAUUGUAUGAAAAACAUUGAUAUGAGUUGUACCUAGAACGGUACAAGACGAUAUCAGUGCAAGCCCAGGAUCAGAACCAUGGCAACUGUCAAGUGAGUCCUUAAGUAUUUAAGAAAUACUAAAGGAUAAAUUCCUCAAAGAUCGAGGAAGAAUCAGAGUAGAGUAACGUAAUGGAAGCGUAAAUGUAUUAGAUUAUGAAUCUAAUCCAUCAUUGGAUGUUUCUUCAUUAUGAAUGAAGAGAUAAACAGAUAUCUCUUUAUUAUGACUAAAGAGAUAUUUGGAUGGAAACAUUAAAGUAAUGACUUUAGUGUGUUCCAUUAUGAAUGCAAAAUAUAUAUUGCCAUAUAGAAGUUUUUACAACAAUGUUGUUUGGAUGGGAAAGUUCAUUUAUGAACUCUCUAUUCGGUUCCAACCAGAAAGUGUAUCUGACACUAACACUAAUGGGGCGAUAGCUCAAGCCAGGGAAUCAAGGUCUCAUCAAGAUCCGAACUCAAAUGAGAGACUGAACCACAUGAUUGAGAAUCAUGUAUAAUGGUGACGUCGUUAUUCUCAAGGUUGCUUCUAUGGAUAACACAUAUAGAUAUCCAUUGUCUAGGCCUACUAUUCAGCCAUUUAUGAAAUGACUACAGAAGAGGUAUCAUCACUGAUGAUGACCAAGCUGAUUGGCUCUAGUGCAAGUGGGAGAUUGUUGGAAAUGUGCCCUAAAGCCAAUCAUAUGAUGAUACUUUACGGACAUUUCACAUGUUAAACUAAUCUAGUUUAAUAUAAAGGGCAAAGAUUAUUGUUUGAGCCGUCUCAUAUAAAUGUUAUAUGCUUAAACGAUAAAGUCCAAGGAAUAUGUGAUUGGGAGAAUGCAAUCUAAUGAAGUUAGAUUCAUGAGACCAUUCUUUCGUAGACACAUCCUAAACGUUCCUGAUCAUAGGAUUGCCAAUUGGGCAUUGACAGUCCGUCAAGAUCGGUACGUGCUAUGUCUUCUCUCAGGGAGAGUGACUAGUCUCGAGUCAUUGGUGUGUGUGACAUCAAGACAAGUACGUAGGUGCUCAAUAGAGAAUGAGUUCACUGAACGCGAUCAACGAAGAGUUCUCAUAUUCAUGUCACAUGAGAACUCAUGUUUGGGAUAAUGCAAAUUAGUCCUUUGACCUGAGGCAUCAUAGUUGUCUUGUGGUUAAGUCCUUGAUCUUUGAUUAUGUCAAAGUCACCCCAUCGGGGUGUCCACGACAUCGUUGGGGUCAAGCCACUUAGCUAUGGAGACAAGUGAAUGCGCAACAAGGGAUCUCUAACCUUCAAACCGUUUGAGGGAGAAUACUCUAUGAUAUGAUUUGAAUCUCUGGCCAGAGUAGAAUGAAUGAGAUUUAGGAAUGCGUUCCGAAAUCACAUUCAAGGUAAUCAUAUAAGCACAAGACAUCACAUUGGAUAGUAGACAUGAGUAAAUAAACUAUCAAACCAAACAAUGUGGUCAAGAGUAUUAGUAUUAGAGAAAGACCGUAUUGCAUUUGUAAUCUCAAACUGAAUAGGUUCUCCACCUCUCUUCUGAUUAGCUUGGGUAACCAUGAUAUGCUGCUAGGUGUCACUCAUGGUUUGUGGAAGCCCUAAACGUGUGUAAUCACUAAAGGGAGAAUUGAAAAUAGUUUCAAUUCACAAUCGAUGUAAAAUGGUUUUAAUCGCCCACUGCCUCGCUAAAAGGAACCUAAUGAUCGCUACACCGUAAAAGGUGAAGAUUGAAGAAACAAUGGAGAUGAGUAAGAAUAAUUAAAUGGUUUAAUUAUUUAUGGCAAGGAUUAAUUAAUAUGUUAAUUAAUCAAACGAAUAAGUUCGUUAAAGACCUCGGGAUAGUUUUGGACCUUAAGGCCCAAUGGGCUUCGAACGUCAAGCCCAUUAACUUAAGUUGUAUGACAAUUUAAUGAAUAAAGAUUCACAAAGGCCCAAAAGCCCAAAAAUCCCAAUAUGGCCGGCCAUGUGUGAUGAAAAUUGGUUUUGGUUAUUUAGGUCACUUAAAGAAGUGACUAUAUAAAUGACUUUAUAGCCUAAAAUUCAUUAAGGCUUCUUUUUGGAGAAAAUUGGUGAGAACAUGUCUCUCCUUUUCUCUCUAGGAGGAAGGUCACCUUGGAGGGUACAUCUAGCAAUCCUACUACUCCAAGGUCACUCAUUUUCUUCUACAAUCUAACCUUGGUGAAGAGACUUAGAGGUUCUCAAUUUUGGGAACUU